GUUGUAUAGUCAAGUAAUUAAGUGCAUGUGGUGGAUGCCUUGGCAGUCAGAGGCGAUGAAAGACGUGAUAGCCUGCGAAAAGCUCCGGGGAGGCGGCAAAUAUCCUUUGAUCCGGAGAUGUCUGAAUGGGGGAACCCACCUACUUUAAGGUAGGUAUUGCAACAUGAAUACAUAGUGUUGCAAGGCGAACGAGGGGAAGUGAAACAUCUCAGUACCCUUAGGAAAAGAAAUCAAUUGAGAUUCCCUCAGUAGCGGCGAGCGAACGGGGAUCAGCCCAUUAAGUUAUGUGUGUUUUAGUGGAACGCUCUGGGAAGUGCGAACGUAGAGGGUGAUAUUCCCGUACACGAAAGGGCACACAUAAUGAUGACGAGUAGGGCGAGGCACGUGAAACCUUGUCUGAAUAUGGGGGGACCAUCCUCCAAGGCUAAAUACUCCUGACUGACCGAUAGUGAACCAGUACCGUGAGGGAAAGGCGAAAAGAACCCCUGUGAGGGGAGUGAAAUAGAUCCUGAAACCGCAUGCAUACAAGCAGUGGGAGCACCUUCGUGGUGUGACUGCGUACCUUUUGUAUAAUGGGUCAGCGACUUAUAUUCAGUAGCAAGGUUAACCGUAUAGGGGAGCCGUAGAGAAAUCGAGUCUUAAUAGGGCGUUUAGUUGCUGGGUAUAGACCCGAAACCAGGCGAUCUAUCCAUGAGCAGGUUGAAGGUUGGGUAACACUAACUGGAGGACCGAACCCACUGUCGUUGAAAAGCCAGGGGAUGACUUGUGGAUAGGGGUGAAAGGCUAAUCAAGCCUGGUGAUAGCUGGUUCUCCCCGAAAGCUAUUUAGGUAGCGCCUCGGACGAAUACCAUAGGGGGUAGAGCACUGUUUCGGCUAGGGGGUCAUCCCGACUUACCAAACCGAUGCAAACUCCGAAUACCUAUGAGUACUAUCCGGGAGACAGACUGCGGGUGCUAACGUCCGUAGUCAAGAGGAAAACAAUCCAGACCGCCAGCUAAGGCCCCAAAAUCAUAGUUAAGUGGGAAACGAUGUGGGAAGGCAUAGACAGCUAGGAGGUUGGCUUANNNNNNNNNNNNNNNNNGAAGCAGCCACCCUUUAAAGAAAGCGUAAUAGCUCACUAGUCGAGUCGGCCUGCGCGGAAGAUGUAACGGGGCUAAAACUAUGUGCCGAAGCUGCGGAUUUGACAUUAGUCAAGUGGUAGGGGAGCGUUCUGUAAGCCGAUGAAGGUGUAUUGAGAAGUNNNNNNNNNNNNNNNNAUGCUGGAGGUAUCAGAAGUGCGAAUGCUGACGUGAGUAACGACAAAACGGGUGAAAAACCCGUUCGCCGAAAGACCAAGGGUUCCAGUCCAACGUUAAUCGGGGCUGGGUGAGUCGACCCCUAAGGCGAGGCCGAAAGGCGUAGUCGAUGGGAAAAUGGUUAAUAUUCCAUUACUUCUGUGUAAUGCGAUGAGAGGACGGAGAAGGCUAAAUCAGCCUGGCGUUGGUUGUCCAGGUGAAAGGAUGUAGGCAUGUAUCUUAGGCAAAUCCGGGGUACUCUAUGCUGAGAUCUGAUAGCAAGCUGUACUUGUACAGCGAAGUGGUUGAUGCCAUGCUUCCAGGAAAAGUCUCUAAGCUUCAGUUACACAGGAAUCGUACCCGAAACCGACACAGGUGGUCAGGUCGAGUAGACCAAGGCGCUUGAGAGAACUCUGCUGAAGGAACUAGGCAAAAUGGUACCGUAACUUCGGGAGAAGGUACGCUGUUGUUGGUGAUGGAACUCGCUUCCUGAGCUGACGACAGCCGCAGAAACCAGGCCGCUGCAACUGUUUAUUAAAAACAUAGCACUCUGCAAACACGAAAGUGGACGUAUAGGGUGUGAUGCCUGCCCGGUGCUGGAAGGUUAAUUGAUGGGGUUAGCGUAAGCGAAGCUCUUGAUCGAAGCCCCAGUAAACGGCGGCCGUAACUAUAACGGUCCUAAGGUAGCGAAAUUCCUUGUCGGGUAAGUUCCGACCUGCACGAAUGGCAUAAUGAUGGCGGCGCUGUCUCCAGCAGAGGCUCAGUGAAAUCGAAAUCGCUGUGAAGAUGCAGUGUACCCGCGGCUAGACGGAAAGACCCCGUGAACCUUUACUGCAGCUUGACACUGAACUUUGACCUUACUUGUGUAGGAUAGGUGGGAGGCUUUGAAGCUGGAACGCUAGUUCCAGUGGAGCCGUCCUUGAAAUACCACCCUGGUAAUGUUGAGGUUCUAACUCUGUCCCGUGAUCCGGGACGAGGACCGUGUCUGGUGGGUAGUUUGACUGGGGCGGUCUCCUCCUAAAGAGUAACGGAGGAGUACGAAGGUGCGCUCAGCGUGGUCGGAAAUCACGCGUAGAGUAUAAAGGCAAAAGCGCGCUUAACUGCGAGACCCACAAGUCGAGCAGGUACGAAAGUAGGUCUUAGUGAUCCGGUGGUUCUGUAUGGAAGGGCCAUCGCUCAACGGAUAAAAGGUACUCUGGGGAUAACAGGCUGAUACCGCCCAAGAGUUCAUAUCGACGGCGGUGUUUGGCACCUCGAUGUCGGCUCAUCUCAUCCUGGGGCUGAAGCAGGUCCCAAGGGUAUGGCUGUUCGCCAUUUAAAGAGGUACGCGAGCUGGGUUUAGAACGUCGUGAGACAGUUCGGUCCCUAUCUACCGUGGGCGCUGGAAAUUUGAGAGGAUCUGCUCCUAGUACGAGAGGACCAGAGUGGACGAACCUCUGGUGUACCGGUUGUGACGCCAGUCGCAUCGCCGGGUAGCUAUGUUCGGAAGGGAUAACCGCUGAAAGCAUCUAAGCGGGAAGCCUACCUCAAGAUAAGAUUUCCCUAGGACUUUAUGUCCUCUAAAGAGCCGUUCGAGACUAGGACGUUGAUAGGUUGGAUGUGGAAGCAUAGUGAUAUGUGAAGCUGACCAAUACUAAUUGCUCGUGAGGCUUGACUAUACAACACCCAAGCAGUUG
rnacentral:rRNA from 1 species